UGAGAAAUGGCCACUACGUCUAAGGAUGGCAGCAGGCGCGCAAAUUACCCACUCUCGGCAAGAGGAGGUAGUGACGAGAAAUAACAGGGCUUCCGCCUCGUGCGGUAAGUCACUGGAAUGGGUGGAACACAAACCCGUUUACUAGUACCAAGCAGAGGGCAAGUCUGGUGCCAGCAGCCGCGGUAAUUCCAGCUCUGCCAGUGCAUAGACACAUUGCUGCGGUUAAAAAGCUCGUAGUUGGAUCUCUGGCUGCUGUCGGGUCUCCCUUCGGGGUGCACUCGGUCAGUGGCCAUCCUGCUGGCUCAGCCUCAUCCCCCGUGGGUGCAGGCGGUUGGCUCGUCUACUUUGAACAAAUCAGAGUGCUCAAGACAGGCUCAGUGCCUGAAUGUCUUUGCAUGGAAUAAUGGAAGAGGAUUUCGGUUCUACUUCACGUUGGUUCUGAAGCCGAGAUAAUGGUUAACAGAGACGACCGGGGGCAUUGGUAUUCUCGCGUGAGAGGUGAAAUUCUUGGACCGCGGGAGGACCGACAACAGCGAAGGCAAUUGCCAAGAGCGUCUUCAUUAAUCAAGAACGAAAGUCAGGGGAUCGAAGGCGAUUAGAUACCGCCGUAGUCCUGACCGUAAACGAUGCUAACUAGCGAUCCGUCGGUGCUCGCUCCGGCGACCCGAUGGGGAGCUUGCGGGAAACCAAAGUGUUUCAGCUCCGGGGGUAGUAUGGUCGCAAGGCUGAAACUUAAAGGAAUUGACGGAAGGGCACCACCAGGAGUGGAGCCUGCGGCUUAAUUUGACUCAACACGGGAAACCUCACCCGGGCAGGACACCGUAGGGAUUGACAAACUGACCGGCUUUUCAUGAUUCGGUGGCUGGUGGUGCAUGGCCGUUGUUGGUUCGUGGAGUGAUCUGUCUGGUUAAUUCCGAUAACGAGCGAGACCCGCGCCUGCUAACUAGUACGUCAGCUUUCGCUCCAAGCGACUGCUUUCGGCUUCACUUCUUAGAGGGAUCUGCGGCGCUUAGUCGCAUGAAACGUGGGCAAUAACAGGUCUGUGAUGCCCUUAGACGCCCGGGGCUGCACGCGCGCUACACUGGUGGGAUCAAUGUGUUUGUGCUGACCCGUGAGGGUUCGGCUAAUCCGUUGAAAACCCGCCGUGACUGGGAUCGGAGACUGCAACUAUUCUCCGUGAACGAGGAAUUCCAAGUAAGUGCGAGUCACCA
rnacentral:rRNA from 1 species